rnacentral:lncRNA from 1 species
AUGUUGACAUGGUUUGAACAUCUCCAUAACCUCACCUCUUCCAGAUAUGUGAACACACAGCCUUCAUCCUCCACCAGCAUGGACAGUGAAGACAAGAUGAAUACACUUUUUGCAAAAAAUAAGCUGGUUCUCGGUCAGCGUCUCACCAUCCUCCUCAAACACAGGAUUGGAGAACUCGGUCAGCAAGUUUGGUGGCAACGACAGCAUGACAGUCUCCUGGGGCAUAGAAAAUGGGGGCAUUUUAAACCUGUUAGGUCUCCUGUAGUCUCCUCUCCCUUUUAAACAACCCUCCGUUUUUCUUGCAAACCAGUUUUGGCAUUUUUGAACUGAAAAAGGACAGCUUCAAAUCAUAAAAGUGUGCUUUGGGACUGAGCAGCCCGCAAAAUGUCAAUGAAACCCACCAAGCAGCAGAAGAAGCCAGAAUGAAAAUACCGUACAGCCCUAACCAUGUUCUAACUGAAUUUUGGGGGGUUGUCCUUAACAAGGGUUCCCCAGGAAGUAAAAAAAAAAGGUCAUUAUGAUGGCCCCAAUCAUGCAAAACACAAGGGUUGGACAACGGACAUUCCCUGGUCCCUGUUGGAUGGAAAUAUGGAGCUCAAAGCAUCCUCAAACAGCUGGUCUUCUGCCUACCUGGGUUUGAUUCUGCACCUCUGGUUGAAAGAUGACCUCGGUGAAGUCCUUCAUGGCCAGGAAGGGGGCUGGGGGAUAUGUGGACAGGAUCCCUGUCUGUCUGGGGCUGCCACAUGUCCCCCCUUCCUGUGGCAUCUGGCUUUCUGCAGUGUCAGCUCUCCCAGGAACCUUCUGAUGUUCAACGCAUGGACCAGAGGUUCUUGUCCUUGAUGAAGGAUGCCCAAAGGGUGAGAUGAUGGCCGCAAAUUGAUGGAUUUUUCCCUUUCCCGGUGAGGGCGAUGGGUUAAUUCAACCAACCAGCCCUGAUCUUGCUUUCAAGACCACAGCCCAUCCCUGGCCAAGCGAGCCUGGAGAGAAGGGACUGGUUAAGCUGCUAGGAAAUGAAAGAAUGUGCAAGCAUGAAAGCCACUAGGCGCCCCAGCGCCUUAAUCCAGCUCAGCUGAGGACGCCGCCUGGUCAGAGGCCCUGGCAUGGGCUACGGUGCUCUUAAAGACACAGCUCUGCCCAGCUGGACCAGGGCGUCUAAACAAGCAAAACCUCUCUUAAAAUGGGCAUAUAUUUAUAUUUUCCAAUUUGGGUGAGAUGUUAGAAAGGGUGGUGGAAAAUAGUUGCAUUUUUGCGCAGAGUAGAUUCCUGCUAAAUAUAGUGCAAGUGUCAUGAAGGAUGCUAUAAACAAACAAAACAGGGUGGCCAAGUUCUUCAAACUGAGAGAGUAGAGUACAAGAAUAGAACGAAUAGAAUAGAAUAGAGAAGAGAAGAAUAGAAUAGAAUAGAAUAGAAUAGAAUAGAAUAGAAUAGAAUAGAAUAUGGAAUAAAUAGAAGGUAGG